rnacentral:lncRNA from 1 species
CUCUUUUUGGUGCUUGCUGACAUUCGUUCUAGUGCACAGGACUGUAGACCUGCAUUAGCCUUACCCCCAGAACUCCUGAAGAAAGGACACGGAUUCUCUGUGCCUUUAAAGUUCCUUUUUUCUGAUAAUCAAAAUAGAUCUUGAUUGACAGGUCAGAAUGCUGGCUUAAAUGGCUGAGUGGCAGUAUUUUUUAGAGAUGCCAGAGGUGUGACACUUGGAGAGUGAGCUGUGACCUCCAGCCGCUUCCCAAGCUUUCACACAUCAGCUCAGUGACUGUCGGAGGAAGUCGCAGGCCUCAAAAGAGUGCACCCAAGGAACAAAGGGUUGAACACUUGCCACAGAAAUAACAAACGUUUGACUCCCGCUCCAGCACUCUCUGCUCUCCUGUUUAUGGCAGACGUCACUAAUCAACCAUGGCAAUCUUUCCUGCUGGACCCAAGCAAGACCUCUGCAACAUAAUACCCCUGGAAGCUUCUAGCAGUAUGUGAGAAAUGGCCCGGAUUUGAAUCCUAUUAGCCUUCCCUGAUUAUAGGUAUUCAAAUAUUGAAUUAAGAAUUGAAAGAACUAUAGUCUUUCUCCCCUUAUUCCCAUGGAAAUAUUUGGUUGUUCUGGUAAUUUUAAAAUAUGUCUGCG